ACAUUUAGCAUUAUUUAAUUAUAUAUUCAAUUUGUCUUUUAGCUGGUGACCCUCUAUCAGGGUCACCGUUGCUGGUAGUCUUAUAACCCCCAUUUCAUAUUGAAGAAUUCAUAGCCUCCCUUCCCCCAUUUAUCCGUUCAUAGCCCCCCAUAAAAGAAAUCACAAUUCAUCAAAGAUUUAAUCAAAUCAUCCGUCCCUUUUCUCUCAACAUUUGUGCCAUUGCUCUGUUUCUUCAUCAAAGAAGAAGUGAGAUUCUUGGGCACACCCUUUUCCGCAAUUCCCUUUUAACCAUUUGCAGAGAUGUUCUUGGCUCCAGAGGCAGAUUCCGACGAUGAAUUCGCCGUCGUGUUAGCUGGUUCGGAAGGUUUUGUGGCCGAAAUUGUGGUCUGAUUCGGCUUCAAGACUUCAACUUUAUCUUGAAUUUGAGUCUGAUUUUGCUUCGAUACUUGUCGCCACAAGUCACCAACCGUUGGGAAACCUCCUGGGCUGUUCAGAACUCGAGAAUUAGGUGCUCCGUCACUUCCAAGUAAGUCUCUUUUGCCUACAGAAUUCUGUUUUUGAGGUUUUCUUGAUUGAGUGGAAGUUGAAGUUGAUGCCUUUCUGCAGUGAAGUUGAAGCGCCGGCGACGGUGAAGUUAGGGGAAAUGAAGAAGAACGCUGAGUGCUAUGGGGU
rnacentral:lncRNA from 1 species